AUUGAACGCUGGCGGCAAGCCUAACACAUGCAAGUCGAACGCGUGGCGGACGGGUGAGUAAUGUCUGGGACACUGCCUGAUGGAGGGGUAUCACUACUGGAAACGGUAGCUAAUCCCGCAUACCAUCGGAUGUGCCCAGAUGGGAUUAGCUAGUAGGUGGGGUAAAGGCUCCCCUAGGCGACGAUCCCUAGCUGGUCUGAGAGGAUGACCAGCCACACUGGAACUGAGACACGGUCCAGACUCCUACGGGAGGCAGCAGUGGGGAAUAUUGCACAAUGGGCGCAAGCCUGAUGCAGCCAGGCCGCGUGUAUGAAGAAGGCCUUCGGGUUGUAAAGUACUUUCAGCGGGGAGGCGUUAACCGCAGAAGAAGCACCGGCUAACUCCGUGCCAGCAGCCGCGGUAAUAC
rnacentral:rRNA from 1 species